UAGAUCUAACCUGCCCACUGGUUAACGGCCGCGGUACUCUGACCGUGCUAAGGUAGCGUAAUCAGUUGUCUUUUAAAUGAAGACUAGUAUGAAUGGUUGGGGAGUUGCUGUCUCCGUCGAAUUUUGUUGAAUUUACUCUGUAAGUGAAAAAGCUUACAUACAAAAAAAAGACGAGAAGACCCCGGGAAUUUGUGUUUUGUUGGGGUGACAAUAGAUCUAUUUUAAACUUUACUUACUAGUCGAAUUAUUAGGAGAGACAAAAUUACCCCGGGGAUAACAGCAUAAUUUAAGCUUGUGACCUCGAUGUUGGACUAGGGAAAGCGCAAGCUAGCAGCUUGCGUGUUAAGUUCUGUUCGAACAUUACCCC
rnacentral:rRNA from 1 species